rnacentral:rRNA from 1 species
CAGCCGCCGCGGUAAUACGGAGGGUGCAAGCGUUACUCGGAAUCACUGGGCGUAAAGGACGCGUAGGCGGAUUAUCAAGUCUCUUGUGAAAUCUAACGGCUUAACCGUUAAACUGCUUGGGAAACUGAUAAUCUAGAGUGAGGGAGAGGCAGAUGGAAUUCUUGGUGUAGGGGUAAAAUCCGUAGAGAUCAAGAAGAAUACCCAUUGCGAAAGCGAUCUGCUGGAACUUAACUGACGCUAAUGCGUGAAAGCGUGGGGAGCAAACAGGAUUAGAUACCCGAGUAGUCCCUGUCUCUUAUAC